CCCUAUGGGGCGCAGCAGGCGAGAAAACUUUGCAAUGUGCGAAAGCACGACAAGGUUAAUCCUGAGGUGGAUUUCUGCUAAAGAAACCUUUUGCUAGCUCCUAGAAACACUAGCUGAAUAAGGGGUGGGCAAGUUCUGGUGUCACCCGCCGCGGUAWAACCASCACCUCAAGUGGUCAGGAUGAUUAUUGGGCCUAAAGCAUCCGUAGCUCGUUUUCUAAGUUUUCGGUUAAAUCCAUACGCUUAACGUAUGGGCUGCCGGGAAUACUGCAUAACUAGGAAGUGGGARAGGUAGACGGUACUCGGUAGGAAGGGGUAAAAUCCUUUGAUCUAUUGAUGACCACCUGUGGCGAAGGCGGUCUACCARAACACGUUCRACGGUGAGGRAUGAAAGCUGGGGGAGCAAACCGGAUUAGAUACCCGGGUAGUCCCAGCUGUAAACUAUGCAAACCUACAKUGAUGCAUUGGCUUUGUGGCCAAUGCAGUGCYGCAGGGAAGACCGUUAAGUUUGCCGCCUGGAAGUACGUACGCAAGUAUGAAACUUAA
rnacentral:rRNA from 1 species